rnacentral:rRNA from 1 species
GUGGAUUAGAUACCCGAGUAGUCCACGCCCUAAACGAUGCCAACUAGGUGUUGGGGAAGGAGACUUCCUUAGUACCGUAGCUAACGCGUGAAGUUGGCCGCCUGGGGAGUACGGUCGCAAGAUUAAAACUCAAAGGAAUUGACGGGGACCCGCACAAGCGGUGGAUGAUGUGGAUUAAUUCGAUGCAACGCGAAAAACCUUACCUACCCUUGACAUGUCCGGAAUCCUGCUGAGAGGUGGGAGUGCUCGAAAGAGAGCCGGAACACAGGUGCUGCACGGUCGUCGCCAGCU